AGUGAACGUUGGCGGCGUGGAUUAGGCAUGCAAGUCAAGCGAGAACCGUAGCAAUACGGGGACAGCGGCGAAAGGGACAGUAAUGUGUAGGUACCUACCCCGAGGUCUGGGAUAGCUGCGGGAAACUGCAGGUGAUACCGGAUAAUGUCUUCGGACCAAAGGUGUGAUUCCACCUUGGGAGGGGCCUGCAUCCUAUUAGCUAGUUGGCGGGGUAAUGGCCCACCAAGGCAACGAUGGGUAGCGGGUGUGAGAGCACGACCCGCGUCAUUGGGACUGAGACACUGCCCAGACACCUACGGGUGGCUGCAGUCGAGGAUCUUCGGCAAUGGGCGCAAGCCUGACCGAGCGACGCCGCGUGCGGGAUGAAGGCCCUCGGGUUGUAAACCGCUGUCGUAGAGGAGGAAAUGCAGGGGGGUUCUCCCCUCUGUUUGACCUAUUCUAGGAGGAAGGACGGGCUAAGUUCGUGCCAGCAGCCGCGGUAA
rnacentral:rRNA from 1 species